rnacentral:misc_RNA from 1 species
UUAAGUUCAGCGGGUAGUCCUACCUGAUUUGAGGCCAGAUCAUAAAAAGUGAUGUCCGAAGACAGUCGGGUUAGAAAGCAGACGUUUGCCAGAGUCUUGGCCACCCCAGAAGGGAUGUCCUCAGCGAAAUACUUAUUACGCCAAGUAGAACCAAGUCUCACGACAUGUCCAGCUAAUCCUUUUAAGGUGAGCAGCACGAG